UACAAUGGCGCGUACAGAGGGCUGCAAGCUAGCGAUAGUGAGCGAAUCCCAAAAAGCGCGUCGUAGUCCGGAUCGGAGUCUGCAACUCGACUCCGUGAAGUCGGAAUCGCUAGUAAUCGCAAAUCAGAAUGUUGCGGUGAAUACGUUCCCGGGCCUUGUACACACCGCCCGUCACACCAUGGGAGUGGGCUGCACCAGAAGUAGAUAGCUUAACCUUCGGGAGGGCGUUUACCACGGUGUG
rnacentral:rRNA from 1 species